rnacentral:rRNA from 1 species
GACAGAGGGUGCAAACGUUGUUCGGAUUUACUGGCGUAAAGCGCGUGUAGGCGGCUUCGUAAGUUGGAUGUGAAAUCCCACGGCUCAACCGUGGACCGUGCAUCCAAACUACGUAGCUGGAGUUCUGGAGAGGAAGGUGGAAUGCUCGGUGGUAGAAGGUGAAAUUCGUAGAUAUCGAGUGGAAACACCGGUGGCGAAGGCG